rnacentral:rRNA from 1 species
UAAUACGUAGGACCCGAGCGUUGUCCGGAAUUACUGGGUGUAAAGGGCGUGUAGGUGGGUCUCUCAGUCGGUGGUGAAAUCCUGCGGCUUAACCGCAGAACUGCCGCCGAUACUGGAGGUCUUGAGUACGGCAGAGGGAGAUGGAAUUCAUGGUGUAGCGGUGAAAUGUGUAGAUAUCAUGAAGAACACCAGUUGCGAAGGCGGUCUCCUGGUCCGUUACUGACACUGAGGCGCGAAAGCGUGGGGAGCAAACAGGAUUAGAUACCCUGGUAGUCCACGCCUUAAACGAUGGGUACUCGGUGCUGGGCCGCAAGGUUCAGUGCCAAAGCUAACGCAUUAAGUACCCCACCUGGGGAGUACGAUCGCAAGGUUGAAACUUAAAGGAAUUGACGG